CCCUGGGAUAGCUCAGUUGGUAGAGCGUGAGGCUGUUCAUCUCAGGGUUAUGGGUUCAAGCCCCAGGUUGGGCA